CACGAACGGCUGGGGUGCCUGCCGCAAGGCGGGCUGAGACCACACCCAUCGAACCUGAUCUGGGUCAUGCCAGCGAAGGGAGCCAAGCGUUCGAGGCU
rnacentral:ncRNA from 2 species